CAAGCUUCCUCAAAGAAUGAUAGAAUAUUAUGUAAAUAACAUUUUUGCUAAAAGUAUCCCUUUCAUCCUAUAACAAGCCAUAAUUCAGGCUCAAUGGUUAAAUGCUCUGGGUUACUCGUAACAGGACUCGCCAGAGUAACAGGGCUCACUGGUAACAGGACUCGCCAGAGUAACAGAGCUCACUGGUAACAGGACUUACUGGUAACAGGACUCGCCAGUGUAACAGAGCUCACUGGUAACAGGACUCGCCAGAGUAACAGGACUCACUGGUAACAGGACUCGCCAGAGUAACAGGACUCACUGGUAACAGGACUCGCCAGUGUAACAGGGCUCACUGGUAACAGACUCGCCAGAGUAAGAGAGCUUACUGGUAACAGGACUCACUGGUAACAGGACUCGCCAGUGUAACAGAGCUCACUGGUAACAGGACUCGCCAGAGUAAGAGAGCUUACUGGUAACAGGACUCGCCAGAGUAACAGGACUCGCCAUUGUAAUAGGGCUUACUGGUAACAGGACUCGCCAGUGUAACAGGGCUUACUGGUAACAGGACUCGCCAGUGUAACAGGGCUUACUGGUAACAGGACUCGCCAGAGUAACAGGGCUCACUGGUAACAGGACUCGCCAGUGUAACAGGGCUCACUGGUAACAGGACUCGCCAGAGUAAGAGAGCUUACUGGUAACAGGACUCGCCAGUGUAACAGGGCUCACUGGUAACAGGACUCGCCAGUGUAACAGGGCUCACUGGUAACAGGACUCGCCAGUGUAACAGGGCUCACUGGUAACAGGACUCGCCAGAGUAAGAGAGCUUACUGGUAACAGGACUUACUGGUAACAGGACUCGCCAG
ensembl:lncRNA